GGGGCCAUAGCUCAGCUGGGAGAGCGCUACGCUGGCAGCGUAGAGGUCAGGGGUUCGAGCCCCCUUGGCUCCACUA
rnacentral:tRNA from 1 species